rnacentral:rRNA from 1 species
UACAGAGGUCUCAAGCGUUGUUCGGAUUCAUUGGGCGUAAAGGGUGCGUAGGCGGCGCGGUAAGUCGGGUGUGAAAUCUUGGAGCUUAACUCCGAAACUGCAUUCGAUACGGGCUAGCUAGAGUGUGGUAGGGGAGAUCGGAAUUCCUGGUGUAGCGGUGAAAUGCGCAGAUAUCAGGAGGAACACCGGUGGCGAAGGCGGAUCUCUGGGCCAUUACUGACGCUGAGGAGCGAAAGCGUGGGGAGCGAACAGG